CAGCCGCCACGGUAAUACGAAGGGUGCAAGCGUUACUCGGAAUUACUGGGCGUAAAGCGUGCGUAGGUGGUGGUUUAAGUCCGUUGUGAAAGCCCUGGGCUCAAUCUGGGAAUUGCAGUGGAUACUGGAUCACUAGAGUGUGGUAGAGGAUAGUGGAAUUUCCGGUGUAGCAGUGAAAUGCGUAGAGAUCGGAAGGAACAUCUGUGGCGAAGGCGGCCAUCUGGGACAACACUGACGCUGAGGCACGAAAGCGUGGGGAGCAAACAGGAUUAGAUACCCCGGUAGUCCCUGUCUCUUAUAC
rnacentral:rRNA from 1 species